UCCUCCUUAGCGGAGUUGGUAGAGCGACGGACUGUGAAUCCGCAGGUCGCUGGUUCGAGCCCAGCAGGAGGAGCCA
rnacentral:tRNA from 1 species